UGCUGAUAUACCAUUUCCUUAGUUUCCUUAGCUUCAGCUAAGUCAUAGGCCAGACUCUGUUGAAAUAAGAAAUGUGAACAUCAUUUGAAGAAAACUGUUGCAAUUCCAAAGUCAAAGGAAUUGCUCACUUCAGAUUUUUGUCUCUCCAAUGAACAGCGGGUCUGAAUGUGCAUAGUGGUCCAAGUUUGGGGAAUGGAGCAUACUUGCCGUUAAUCACAUAUGUAGUAUCAUUUCCCAGACACUGGACCACACCUUUUUUCCAUUUAUUUAAUAGUUGUUAACAACAUGAAAAGCAAGUCUUUAAAUGG
rnacentral:lncRNA from 1 species